AAACCAACUGGGAUUACCUUAGUAACGGCGAGUGAAGCGGUAAAAGCUCAAAUUUGAAAUCUGGUACUUUCAGUGCCCGAGUUGUAAUUUGUAGAAUUUGUCUUUGAUUAGGUCCUUGUCUAUGUUCCUUGGAACAGGACGUCAUAGAGGGUGAGAAUCCCGUUUGGCGAGGAUACCUUUUCUCUGUAAGACUUUUUCGAAGAGUCGAGUUGUUUGGGAAUGCAGCUCAAAGUGGGUGGUAAAUUCCAUCUAAAGCUAAAUAUUGGCGAGAGACCGAUAGCGAACAAGUACAGUGAUGGAAAGAUGAAAAGAACUUUGAAAAGAGAGUGAAAAAGUACGUGAAAUUGUUGAAAGGGAAGGGCAUUUGAUCAGACAUGGUGUUUUUGCAUGCACUCGCCUCUCGUGGGCUUGGGCCUCUCAAAAAUUUCACUGGGCCAACAUCAAUUCUGGCAGCAGGAUAAAUCAUUAAGACGUAGCUACCUCGGUAGUGUUAUAGCUUUUUGGAAUACUGCU
rnacentral:rRNA from 1 species